GAUGAACGCUGGCGGCGUGCUUAACACAUGCAAGUCGAACGGAAAGGCCCAAGCUUGCUUGGGUACUCGAGUGGCGAACGGGUGAGUAACACGUGGGUGAUCUGCCCUGCACUUCGGGAUAAGCCUGGGAAACUGGGUCUAAUACCGGAUAGGACGAUGGUUUGGAUGCCAUUGUGGAAAGUUUUUUCGGUGUGGGAUGAGCUCGCGGCCUAUCAGCUUGUUGGUGGGGUAAUGGCCUACCAAGGCGUCGACGGGUAGCCGGCCUGAGAGGGUGUACGGCGACAUUGGGACUGAGAUACGGCCCAGACUCCUACGGGAGGCAGCAGUGGGGAAUAUUGCACAAUGGGCGCAAGCCUGAUGCAGCGACGCCGCGUGGGGGAUGACGGCCUUCGGGUUGUAAACUCCUUUCGCUAGGGACGAAGCGUUUUUGUGACGGUACCUGGAGAAGAAGCACCGGCUAACUACGUG
rnacentral:rRNA from 1 species